rnacentral:rRNA from 1 species
GGGGAAACCCUGAUGCAGCAACGCCGCGUGAGUGAUGAAGGUUUUCGGAUCGUAAAGCUCUGUCUUUGGGGAAGAUAAUGACGGUACCCAAGGAGGAAGCCACGGCUAACUACGUGCCAGCAGCCGCGGUAAUACGUAGGUGGCGAGCGUUAUCCGGAUUUACUGGGCGUAAAGGGAGCGUAGGCGGAUGAUUAAGUGGGAUGUGAAAUACCCGGGCUCAACUUGGGUACUGCAUUCCAAACUGGUUAUCUAGAGUGCAGGAGAGGAGAGUGGAAUUCCUAGUGUAGCGGUGAAAUGCGUAGAGAUUAGGAAGAACACCAGUGGCGAAGGCGACUCUCUGGACUGUAACUGACGCUGAGGCUCGAAAGCGUGGGGAGCAAACAGGAUUAGAUACCCUGGUAGUCCACGCUGUAAACGAUGAAUACUAGGUGUGGGGGUUUCAACACCUCCGUGCCGCCGCUAACGCAUUAAGUAUUCCGCCUGGGGAGUACGGUCGCAAGAUUAAAACUCAAAGGAAUUGACGGGGACCCGCACAAGUAGCGGAGCAUGUGGUUUAAUUCGAAGCAACGCGAAGAACCUUACCUACACUUGACAUCCCUUGCAUUACUCUUAAUCGAGGAAAUCCCUUCGGGGACAAGGUGACAGGUGGUGCAUGGUUGUCGUCAGCUCGUGUCGUGAGAUGUUGGGUUAAGUC